ensembl:lncRNA
GAGGGGUGUCCUUGCAUUUAUACCAAUUGUACAGUCAGCUCCUGGGAGUAGAGUAUUUGCUAGUCCUGAGUUUACAAGCACUGGGAGAGGUAGGCUGUUUACUCCUCCUGACCAGGGUAUCCCACCUCUGUCUUUUGAUGUACCAUCUUCCCCAGUCCUCAGUAAUAAUGGGACACCUCUGAGUCAGCUUAGUGACCUUAUUAAGCAGAUUGGUUCAGAGAUAGGAGAAUCUAUCAGAGCGAGUUUACUGCAUGCAGCCUGGGGCUUCAAGUCUUUCGCCUGCCCAUCCCCCUCACCAACCCCAGCAGUUUCCUCUGCCUGAGCAAUUUGGGUCAACUUUUAUUGCUGUGUCCGCGUUGAAUCUGGUUGCGAAGUCAGAUGUUACUUCCAGCUCCGACAGAGAUGGCCGCCUCGCUUCGCGUUCCGAGGAAACUAUGCAGUAUUUUUUUUUUUUUUUACAUGUUAUUUCUUACAAUGUUACCCCAGAAAAUCUUAGGUUUUAUUACAUACAGUCGGGAGGAACUAUUAGAUAUAAGAGCAAUGUCAACUCACCAACAUUACGACCAGGAAUACGACUUUCCCGAAGCGGAUCCUCUGUUUGGCCUACCACCCAGGACAAUGGAUCGGAUCCCAGCCGGCGCCGUAGAAGGGGCAGACGGCGCGGUCUUCUGAUCAGGCUCUGUAGAUGGGCACAUCGCGCAAUGCUCCCGAGCUUUAAUUCGCCAAUGUCCAGUCUCAUGACAACAAGGUAAGCGAAAUCUGAGCAAGGGUAGCAUUCCAGAGAGACAUCAGAGACUGUAACGUUCUUUGUUUCACGGAAACAUGGUUCACCCGAGGCACACUAUCUGAGUCGGUACAGCCACCUGGUUUCUUCACGCAUCACGCCGACGAAAACAAGCAUCUCUCUGAUCAAAUCGAAUGACAGCUACUGGCGGGUGGUGGGUACGCCAGGUCCUUCUGGCCAGUGUGAUGACAGCCACUUCCUGCGUCUCCUAUCAAAUCUGGAGAGAUGGAGAGGAGACUCCAUCCCAGAUAAAGUGGGCACCAUUAAGUUGAAGAGAGUCUGGUGUGGGGCCGCCUACCCCAAAGACAAAACUCUCUGUUGGCAGUACUGUUGUUGUCGAGCCCAGCAUGUCUCGUUGUUUGAACCGACACAUAUUAGUAGGGAGAGUAGUUACGCC